GAGCGCGCCUUCGGGUGAGCGGCGGACGGGUUAGUAACGCGUGGGAACGUGCCCUUCUCUACGGAAUAGCCUCUGGAAACGGAGAGUAAUACCGUAUACGCCCUUUGGGGGAAAGAUUUAUCGGAGAAGGAUCGGCCCGCGUUAGAUUAGGUAGUUGGUGGGGUGACGGCCUACCAAGCCUACGAUCUAUAGCUGGUUUUAGAGGAUGAUCAGCAACACUGGGACUGAGACACGGCCCAGACUCCUACGGGAGGCAGCAGUGGGGAAUCUUAGACAAUGGGGGCAACCCUGAUCUAGCCAUGCCGCGUGAGUGAUGAAGGCCUUAGGGUCGUAAAGCUCUUUCGCCUGUGAUGAUAAUGACAGUAGCAGGUAAAGAAACCCCGGCUAACUCCGUGCCAGCAGCCGCGGUAAUACGGAGGGGGUUAGCGUUGUUCGGAAUUACUGGGCGUAAAGCGCGCGUAGGCGGAUUAGAAAGUUGGGGGUGAAAUCCCGGGGCUCAACCCCGGAACUGCCUCCAAAACUGCUAGUCUAGAGUUCGAGAGAGGUGAGUGGAAUUCCGAGUGUAGAGGUGAAAUUCGUAGAUAUUCGGAGGAACACCAGUGGCGAAGGCGGCUCACUGGCUCG
rnacentral:rRNA from 1 species